AUCGGGAGGAACUUCUUGAGGUGCUGGCACGGUAGGAAGGACUCCCCACUCGACGUGAUCGCCAUCAACGACACCGGCGGCGUCAAGCAAGCGGCCCACCUCCUUAAAUACGACUCCACCCUCGGCAUCUUCGACGCCGUCGUCAAACCCGUCGGCACCGACGCCAUCUCCGUCGACGGCAAGAUCAUCCAAGUCGUCUCCGACCGCAACCCCUCCAACCUCCCUUGGGGGUAAAAAAAAAAAUUAGAAGAGAGCUAUCUAUGCACAUUGCAUUAUAUAGUAACUUAAUUGUGUUUUACGAUAUUUUUUUUUUACGAUUUUGAAGGGAUAUGGGGAUUGAUCUUGUGAUCGAGGGUACCGGAGUGUUUGUGGAUAGAGACGGAGCCGGGAAGCAUAUUCAAGCCGGGGCGAAGAAGGUGCUCAUCACCGCUCCCGGCAAGGGCGACAUCCCCACGUACGUCGUCGGUGUCAACGCCGAUGCUUACACACACGCCGACGACAUCAUUAGCAACGCCUCCUGCACCACCAACUGUCUUGCCCCUUUCGUCAAAGUCCUCGACCAAAAAUUCGGUAUAAUUUGUUACUGAAAUGUUAAAUGUCGUUUUGAUUUUACUAGUAGUGUUUUGACUUUGAAUGUGUUCUGAUUUUGGCAAAAUUCAAAACACAUAAAUUG
rnacentral:lncRNA from 1 species